CACGUAGGGACCAAGCGUUGUCCGGAUUCAUUGGGCGUAAAGAGCUCGUAGGCGGUUCGAUAAGUCGGGUGUGAAACCUCCAGGCUCAACCUGGAGACGCCACCCGAUACUGCCUGGCUGGAGUCCCGGAGAGGAUGGCGGAAUUUCCGGUGUAGAGGUGAAAUUCGUAGAUAUCGGAAGGAACACCAGUGACGAAGGCGGCCAUCUGGACGGUGACUGACGCUGAGACGCGAAAGCGUGGGGAGCAAACAGG
rnacentral:rRNA from 1 species